rnacentral:rRNA from 1 species
AACCCUUGUCAUUAGUUGCCAUCAGGGUAAAGCUGGGGAACUCUGGGGAGACUGCCGGUGAUAACCGGAGGAAGGCGGGGAUGACGUCAAGUCCUCAUGGCCCUUACAUCCCGGGCUACACACGUGCUACAAUGGCAGGUACAGAGGGCUGCAAAGCCGCGAGGUAGAGCGAAUCCCAGAAAACCUGUCUCAGUCCGGAUUGAAGUCUGCAACUCGACUUCAUGAAGGCGGAAUCGCUAGUAACCGCGAAUCAGCAGGUCGCGGUGAAUACGUUCCCGGGCCUU